UACCUUGAGGAGUAUUCCUAAAAAAGGGUAAUGGAAUAAAAUAACAGCCUGAGAGGGAGAAAGAAUAAAGAAGGUACUCAAAGACAAUGGUGACAAAAGAAGUCAAACAUCAAUCAAGCUUUAAAUACUGAUAAAGAAAAGAAGUUUAAUGUACCAUCAAAGAAAAACAAUUGUGCUGUUAAAUGAAAGAGCGUCAAAGAAAGAAAGGAGAGAUUAAUCCAGAGGAAGAAAGAAACCAUCACAGCAAGGAGGGAAAACCUAGAACAAAAGCCCGAAAUAUCCUCUGCCUCCUGCAGAUGUCCUCUUGGGGGGGACUACAAGUCCUCAUCCAUUAAUGCAGAUUCCUUAUCUACAUUCAUCUACAGGUUUCAAAAGCCUGAGGUGGGGCUCUACAAGGGGUCCAGCUGCAAAUAACCUCUCAGAAUCAAGGCUGAAUUACUGCAGAUACCUCUGUAAAGGUAAGAAGACAGAUCCUCAGAUCAUAUAAAUUGGUGCAGCCCUGCUGAUGACUGUGAUGUUAUGGUGAUUGAUACCAGCAGGGCCAUAAUACAGCUAAAGUAAAUGGUCUGCAGAUUUAAAUGCCUGCUGCUAACGGGUCCCAUGGUAAAUCAAUGGCUGACUUGUUAGUUUCUCUUUAAAAUGGACUCAGAAGGU